CUACCUUUGCGACCGUUUGGUGCCCGUAGCAAUUUCCAUGUUGCUUUUCGUGGCUUAAUAGGGAAUUCCGUUAAAACCGGAAGCUGUCCCCGCAACUGUAAGUCUGUUCCAUUGACCCGAUCUUCGAAGCCACUGUUGAAAAACGGGAAGGCACCGGGCCAAAAGGCGAGCCAGGAGACCUGCCAGAUCAUUCGUGCUACA
rnacentral:ncRNA from 2 species